CUCACUCUCUACUGUAAGUCGCUCUGGAUAAGAGCAUCUGCUAAAUGACAAAAA
rfam:Salmo salar isolate Sally breed double haploid chromosome ssa12, whole genome shotgun sequence.